GUUAGGAAUUUUGCGCAAUGGGAGAAAUCCUGACGCAGCAACGCCGCGUGAACGAUGAAGGCCUUCGGGUUGUAAAGUUCUUUUAGUUGGGACGAAAAAAAUGACGGUACCGACAGAAACAGCACCGGCUAACUCUGUGCCAGCAGCCGCGGUAAUACAGAGGGUGCAAGCGUUAUUCGGAAUUACUGGGCGUAAAGCGCAUGUAGGCGGUUCGAUAAGUUCGAUGUGAAAGCCCUGGACUCAAUUCAGGAAGUGCAUUGAAUACUGUCAAACUGGAGUACAGGAGGGGAGAGUGGAAUUCCUGGUGUAGAGGUGAAAUUCGUAGAUAUCAGGAGGAACAACAGAGGCGAAGGCGACUCUCUGGACUGUCACUGACGCUAAUAUGCGAAAGCGUGGGGAGCAAACAGGAUUAGAAACCCUAGUAGUCC
rnacentral:rRNA from 1 species